rnacentral:rRNA from 1 species
GACGAACGCUGGCGGCGUGCUUAACACAUGCAAGUCGAACGACGUGGCGAACGGGUGAGUAACGCGUAAUCAACCUGCCAUUCAGCGGGGGACAACAGUUUGAAACGACUACUCAUACCGCAUACUGAAGAAGGGGCUUGCGUCUGAUUAGCUAGUUGGAUGGGUAACGGCCCACCAAGGCGAUGUUCAGUAGGCGGGCCGAGAGGGGGAACGGACAAAAUGGGACUGAGAAACGGGCCAGAACUCUACGGGAGGGAAGAGGGGGGAAUGUUCCGCAAUGGAAGAAAGUCUGACGGAGGAACGGCGGGUGAGUGAUGACGGCCUUCGGGUUGGAAAGCUACGGUAAUCGGGACGCGGUACCGGAAUAGAAAGCAACGGCUAACUCCGUGCCAGCAGCCGCGGUAAUUC